AGAGUUUGAUCCUGGCUCAGGAUGAACGCUAGCUACAGGCUUAACACAUGCAAGUCGAGGGGCAUCAGGAAGAAAGCUUGCUUUCUUUGCUGGCGACCGGCGCACGGGUGAGUAACACGUAUCCAACCUGCCCUUUACUCGGGGAUAGCCUUUCGAAAGAAAGAUUAAUACCCGAUAGCAUAAUGAUUCCGCAUGGUUUCAUUAUUAAAGGAUUCCGGUAAAGGAUGGGGAUGCGUUCCAUUAGGUUGUUGGUGAGGUAACGGCUCACCAAGCCUUCGAUGGAUAGGGGUUCUGAGAGGAAGGUCCCCCACAUUGGAACUGAGACACGGUCCAAACUCCUACGGGAGGCAGCAGUGAGGAAUAUUGGUCAAUGGGCGCUAGCCUGAACCAGCCAAGUAGCGUGAAGGAUGAAGGCUCUAUGGGUCGUAAACUUCUUUUAUAUAAGAAUAAAGUGCAGUAUGUAUACUGUUUUGUAUGUAUUAUAUGAAUAAGGAUCGGCUAACUCCGUGCCAGCAGCCGCGGUAAUACGGAGGAUCCGAGCGUUAUCCGGAUUUAUUGGGUUUAAAGGGAGCGUAGGUGGACUGGUAAGUCAGUUGUGAAAGUUUGCGGCUCAACCGUAAAAUUGCAGUUGAUACUGUCAGUCUUGAGUACAGUAGAGGUGGGCGGAAUUCGUGGUGUAGCGGUGAAAUGCUUAGAUAUCACGAAGAACUCCGAUUGCGAAGGCAGCUCACUGGACUGCAACUGACACUGAUGCUCGAAAGUGUGGGUAUCAAACAGGAUUAGAUACCCUGGUAGUCCACACAGUAAACGAUGAAUACUCGCUGUUUGCGAUAUACAGUAAGCGGCCAAGCGAAAGCAUUAAGUAUUCCACCUGGGGAGUACGCCGGCAACGGUGAAACUCAAAGGAAUUGACGGGGGCCCGCACAAGCGGAGGAACAUGUGGUUUAAUUCGAUGAUACGCGAGGAACCUUACCCGGGCUUAAAUUGCAGUGGAAUGAUGUGGAAACAUGUCAGUGAGCAAUCACCGCUGUGAAGGUGCUGCAUGGUUGUCGUCAGCUCGUGCCGUGAGGUGUCGGCUUAAGUGCCAUAACGAGCGCAACCCUUAUCUUCAGUUACUAACAGGUCAUGCUGAGGACUCUGGAGAGACUGCCGUCGUAAGAUGUGAGGAAGGUGGGGAUGACGUCAAAUCAGCACGGCCCUUACG
rnacentral:rRNA from 1 species